CUCCCCCUGCUCAACACCGUCUUCUUCCUCAUUGUCUUCUACUUCUGCAAUAUCUUCUGGCACUGUAUCUUCAUUUCUCAUGAAUGAUUCUGCUGUUGCCUCUGGCACCUGAGGAGCAACAUUUGCCUUCUGAGAUAUUGUGGGCUUUUCAAUAUCUUCUAUUGUCUGGUUUUCAUGGAACACUACGUCCCUACUUCUGAU
rnacentral:lncRNA from 1 species